UAUAGUUAAACUAUGGUAACCACAAAUAUGGUUUUGCUACACUAACCUUAUGGGUUAACCACAGCAUUUGUAGUAAAACUGUGGUUAUAAAAAUGGUAGUCAGUACGCCAAAAAAUCAUGGUUACAACAUUUUUACUAUAAUAAAACCAUGGUUAAUUUUCGUAAGGGUUGGCAAUAAAGCCUCAGUCUUUUAGCAUGCAAAUAAAGCUAACUGAAUAGAAAUUUUAUUCAGUAUUGGAGUUCGGUUCAAUGAGGCCAUAGAAAUACAAAAAAGUGAAUUCUAUCUAAUUCUAUUAAUAGACAUGAAUUUAACGCGGAUGAAAACGAGGCUGUGAGGGAAAGAAUUGCAGUGCGUUUAAUGGAUUGGACUGCUGUUUAACAAUUUAACACAGAUUUUUUCAUUUCAU